rnacentral:rRNA from 1 species
GACGGAGGAUGCAAGUGUUAUCCGGAAUCACUGGGCGUAAAGCGUCUGUAGGUGGUUUAAAAAGUCCACUGUUAAAAAUUGAAGCUUAACUUCAAAGAUGCCGUGGAAACUUUUAAACUUGAGUAUGAUAGGGGUAGAGGGAAUUUCCAGUGGAGCGGUGAAAUGCGUAGAUAUUGGAAAGACCACCAAUGGCGAAGGCACUCUACUGGGCCAUUACUGACAUUGAGAGACGAAAGCUAGGGGAGCGAAUGGG